rnacentral:lncRNA from 1 species
AAAGUUGAAGUGAAAUUUGAAAUUUGAAAUUUGAAGUUUUUGAAAUUUGAAAUUUAAAAUUUAAAAUUUGAAGUUUUUGAAAUUUGAAAUUUGAAAUUUAAAAUUUGAAAUUUAAAAUCAAAAUUAAAUUUGAAUUUUAAAAUUUUAAAAUUUGAAAUCUAAAAUUUUAUGUUGAAAUUUAAAAUUUAAAAAUUGAUACAUCUUUGGGAGCCCAAAAUGGUGGAAUUUUUUUCCUUUGGUUAAAGUGGAUUGUAAGUUUACUCCAUUUUUUGGAGUAUAGUAUAACUAUACUCCAAAAAUUACGUCAUUUUUUUUUCUUCCAAACGCUUUAUAGGAUUAUUUUCCUGCCAGCGUAGCAUAGUUUAACUAUGCUACGUUUUUAGAGGCAUCCAAACGGGGCCUUACUGGGUUUAAAAUAAGGGUUAAUUUUAUAUGGGUCCUGCAAAGGUAUCAACAAUAAAUAUAUUCCUACAAAACUUAAGUUAUAAUAUUUAUUCCUUCAAAAGUUCUCGCCGUGGCACGUGUGGUAUGUCUCAUUUUUACCAUAACUAGGGGUCUCGCCUUCAACGUCGCUGUUGCCGUAGGUCUCGUUGUUGUCAUAGAUAAAAAAGGAGAUGAUGAGGAAAUUGACAGUGGCUUAACAUUGAAAUACUAUUGAUUAUUUAAAUUUUGAUAACAAAAUGAUAUAUUUGCAAGACGAAAGAAUUUUGGAGGAAUAAAUAUGAUAACUUAUAUUUUGUAAAAAUAUAUUUGCUAUGCAAUUAUCCUCUAACACAAAUUAUUAUAGUUACAAUUAUCCCUCAAAACAAAGUAUAGUUACGAACGGAUUUAAUUUACUACGAAUUAAACAAUGAAUAUUUACGGCCAAAAAUAUAUUCCCGUAGCCAAACGCGCACCGGUGGUAAACCCACGUGGAAACCAACUCGAUCAGUGACAAAUUUAGAAGAGAGAGAGGGAGAGGGAGAAAGCUUCCCCAUAGAGAGAGAGUGUGNAUGGCGGAGAGGGAGGAGGAGGAGGCGUCCACGUCGGUGCCGCUGAGCCAGGGCGCGGAUCUCGAGGCGCCGCCCCCGCCGAGCUCCCCCAACUCCUCCACUCGCAAGGUUCGGAUCCCGAUCCCUCCCUCCGAUCUCGCCGCAUUUUUUGUUGCCCUAAUCCCAUGAUCCCAUCCCUUUCGCCCACCCAGAUCCGUUUCCUGUUUGUUUUCUGUUGUUGUUGUUGUUGUUGUUGUUGAUGAUGAUGGUGAUGAUGAUGAUGAUGAUUUCGCAUGGGUAAUUUGGAUGUGAUAGUGUGUGUCAUCGAUCUCUUCCGUUGCGGUGGCGAUCGCCAAUUUUCAUGUGAUGAUCGCAUAUAUUGGACGAUUUGAGCUGUGGAUUCAGAGAUCGAGCGAGCGAGCGAGCGAGCGAUCUAGGGUUUGCGAAUUUGGGUUGCGUUGAUAACUAUACCUGCAAUUUGAUCCAAUUUUCAAUCGUGCGAUUUGAUUCGAUCUGUGUAAUGCAAUCUAGGGUUCACAAUUUUGAUGCGAUGUGACUUGGCGUAGAUCUUGAAGAAAGGAAGUGUUUGAUGCAAUGCACUUAACUACCCUGUGGUGUAGCACAUUUUCACUUUGCCACUCCGUGGUUCAAAAAGUUGCACUUAACUCUAUCCCUGGAUACUAUUUUUGUUUCAACGAAAAAAUCUAUUGUCAAAUGGGGUAGUAAAGUAAAAUGGUAAAUAAUACAACGGGAUAGUGAAGUAUAAUUUUUUGGAAUCACGGGGUAGCAAAGUGAAAAUGCGCUAAUUAUCACAAGGGACAUAUUGAAGUUUACCCCAAAAAAAAAAAAAAAAAAAGUUCUGAAACUUAGUGUAGGAUUGGGAUGUAGGAACGGGCUCAAAAGCAGAAGCUCAAAUUAGUGCUUCUGCUUCACCGGUUCAAGGAUUUUAGUAUAGUGCUUCUUCUAAUAACACUGCUCGAACAUCAAUCCGUUGAAUAGCACUUCACCCUACACCAGGACUAAACAGGCCGAAUAUAACUUAGUAACGACUGCGUCGUUGCUUAAUCAGCAUUAUAAGAGAAUAUUGCACAACUUAGGAGAAGUACAGGGAAUUCGACCAUUUCUAUUAUAGUUACACUGAAAGGGAAAUAUCAUAGGGAGUAAAAACUUAGUGCAAAUGAACCUGAAGGACCAUGCUUGUUAAAUAAGACUGAAAAAUCUGCGGAAAAAAAAACUUCUUGCAACUGUGUUGAUCACUUUAGAAAACUGCUAUAAGCCGAGCUACUUGCUGGAAAAGCAAGAUUGCGAAAGAGUGAACUCUAAAAUCUAGCGCCAAAUGACGGGAGACUGUGAGAUCAUCAGGAGGAAGGAUCCCGCAAGCCUUUGAAGGGUGCUACGGAAUGGGCUCACUGUCACAAAGUCAUGUAGGUUGGAUCCAAAGGUCUUCCAAAGUUAGAAUAUUGGAAAUUGACUAAAACCUUGUCGCUUAUCAUUAAAAUGUUGUGUAUUCGCAUGUAUAGAUAUAAGUUUAAGGCCUAGACAAAAGGUAUUAAAGGUAAACCCACGUCAUUUGCCUGCAACUUCUUGUAAUGAGUCAGCUUAGAUAAAUUGGCCGCAUUUCAUGCGCAUACCUGUCUUUCUUUUGUACCAACAAUUCAUGAAUCUGUAUAUGUAUGUGCGACCAGUUUCCUUAUAAUAGGCUGACUUGUUUUUGUACAGUAUUACUAAACAAAACCUCUUAACCAGGCAUGUUGUGCGGUUCUCCAGAGCUGGUUCUCAAGAAAAUUCAUGACCGGAUGGUACGCCAUCUUAAUGUUGCAAAAACAAAAAUAUAUUUGUGAUUGUUUUGUAUACCUAACUUCUUCUCUGUUCAUUUUGCAGUGUUGUUCUUUUUCCUGUUGCUGUCACAUUUUUCCUGACAUGGUGGUUUGUUCAGUUUGUUGAUGGUUUCUUCAGUCCUCUAUAUGCCAAGCUUGGUGUUGACAUAUUUGGUAAUUCUUGUUGUAAUUUUUUUUUGAUUUUUUCUGGUCAGAUGAAAGUUAUAUACGGAUACAUCCUCUUGUUCUGCUAAAUUGCUUUGCUUCUUGGAGUUGGUAGAACAUGCCUCGACAGGAGGAUAAGUGUUUGUCAUUUUAUAUCCUAUCUCAAUCAGUAGCUUUCUAGCUGAAAUGUUGAAAAGGGCUUCUUGCUGUUGGAUGAGCAUUACUAUGAUGUGCAGAGAAAAUUGAACUCACAAGAAAUUAGUAGUUGCCAUUAUUGAUUAAAACUUAAAGGUUUGGACAGGAAUUUUUGAGAAUCAUCAAAAGAAAAUGGUACUUAAUUUUCUCUAUGUUGAAGUAUAUUACUAAACUUAGUGGGCUUCCCUGGCGCAUAGAGAUGGAUUCUGCUGUGAAAUUGAGAUGAGUUUUCGUACUUAAUUUAAAAGAAGGCAUGCUAGUUUUAUCAUUUCUAGUUAUACAAUGAUCUUGCUUCAAGUUUUGGAAACAUUAUAGAACGGAUUGUGAUCUGACUCUGAUAAAAGGUAAGUCCUUUGGGUUCAUUUUCUGUUCAAAGCAAGAAUUUGGAAAAAAUUCUGCAUGAAACUUAGCGGCAAGAUCCUUGUGCACCACUUCUCCCUUUGUGGUGAAGCCGGCUGUAAUUGCACUAUUUCUGGAUGUCAUGCUAUUUGAAUGUGUAGACAGUUAAAUAUGUCAUAGAUCUUUAGGUAUGGUUGACAUUUUCUGCAGAACUUUCUCAUUUAGUUUCUAUUAUUACAUCCUGUGUUUAACAGGCCUUGGAUUUUUGACAUCUGUGGUAUUCAUAUUUCUUGUUGGGAUAUUUGCUUCUUCAUGGUUGGGCGCCACUGUUUUCUGGGUUGGAGAAUGGUUCAUAAAGAAAAUGCCCUUUAUGAAGCAUAUUUACUCAGCAUCAAAGCAAAUCAGCACGGCUAUUUCACCAGGUAACUCAUUUUGUAUCUAUACGCCCAUAAUAUGUAAAUCUUUGUUGACGAAAAUAAUCAAAAUGAUAUCUUGUUUGAGGUAAACAAGAUAUACAUGCAUGAAUAAGUAAGGCAUUUAUCCUUAUAUAUUUUCUAAUUAGCGACUCUUAUCUUAAUCCUUAGAAUGAUAAUUUAUUUUGGGAAUAAAAUCACUACCAAUAGUUAUACUUUGAUAUAAAACAGGCCUCAGUUUUGAUUCUAGCGGCUCCACUUUUACAUGCUUUUUUUUUUUUUUAUGUGCAGAUCAAAAUACCACAGCAUUUAAGGAGGUAGCUAUCAUACGCCAUCCACGGAUUGGUGAAUAUGCAUUUGGUUUCAUCACAUCAUCUGUGGUCCUUCAGGUACUUCGACUGAAAAUGUUAUUAUCUAUGUUGUUAUGAAUAUACGUUAUCUUUAGAUUGCUAGAGCAGCUAUUUUAUCUAGUCAGACUUGCUGUAAGGUCAAAUAGUCUUUCAAGAUAUAAACUUUACAAGGAUGUUUAAUCUCUUCUUUGAAGCUUUUUUUCCCCUCUUUUUUUGUUAUUUAUUGCAGAGUGAUAAAGGUGAUGAAGAGUUAUGUAGUGUUUACGUCCCAACAAACCAUCUAUAUAUUGGUGACAUAUUUUUGGUCAACUCUGAAGAGGUCAUUAGACCGAAUCUAUCCAUUCGAGAAGGCAUAGGUUGAUCCCCUUGAACCUUCUGAUUCUGCAUUGUCUUGUUCCUUUGUUGGCUUUCUUAUAAGUUAGUUGAAAUCUGUCUAAAUUGAUUACUGAAUUUUAUUCUGUAUUUUUGGAAUGCAAUUUUGUUGCUUUGGAGUUGGUGUUCAAGUUUGCUUCAUAUUGUGCUUUUAGAAUGCUUCUUUUCUUUUGGAAUAUGUUAGUUUACUUGAUCCAUGUCUUAUAAAUUUCAUGGUGGCUUUUUCAAUUACUAUAAUUAACAAUGUUUAAACUAUGUUGGGAUAUAUCAUAAAUUAUUUGUGGAUCCAUUCCUCUUUGAAUUAUUAUUCCUUUGCAUUUCCUCUUUUCUUUUUUUUCUGUUUGUCAAUCAGUUUUUUAGUCCACAAAAUCUUACUUUUUUAUAUGCGGUAUAUUUCAGUUGGCCAUGUUUACUACAGUUUAAUGGAAUUUGAGCAAAUCAUUGAGAAAAUUUUUGAGUUCUAUCGCAUCAUCUAUACUCUGUUUACUUAGUUCGUAGCCCCAUAUGUUGGUGGGACAAAUAUAAUCUUAUGCAGAUUAUCUUAGUUGUUCACUAGAUUAAUAUUUUCUUUAAGCACUUCUUUUUUGUCAGCUUUACUAUAUCUUAUCUGGAAACUUCUAAUGUCAUAAAUGCAACAUUUGUAAACCUAGUCAUUUUAGCUGUUUAACUAUGUCUAAUAAUCUAUUUUUAUUUGAUGAAAUGCUUUUCUUAAUGUUUUGUGCUCUUCAGAGAUUAUUGUGUCUGGGGGGAUGACUAUGCCACAAGCGAUUGCUCCUCUCGAGCGGGCUUCUCAUAAGAAUCAGAGUAUCCGCCUGGACCGAAUCGCAUAAAGCUUUCUCACUCUCUCAAUCUACAAAUGAGGUAUGUCUCACUAGCGCUUCUUAUCCCUUCAAACUUACAUAUAUGUCCCCAUAAAAUCUGAAUUUUCAUACAUAUGACUCUUGCAAUGUAGUUUCGUACGAAAAUAGUGUUAUCUUAAGCUCGGGGUCAUCGAAUCGAUUGGGGGAAGUUGGUUUCAAGGGUUAUUUUUAACGAGUAUAUGAUAAAAUUAGGCUUUUUCAUGGCAUAAAUGAAAAAACAAAAAAAAAAUCUGAUUUUGCUGGGAUGACUUGCAAUGCCAAAGAGAGGUUGGUCUCUCUGAGCUUUUCACUAUAGGACGAUUUGUUUUGUAUUUAUUAUUAUAUCUCCUUUUUUGUGAUGCAGGUUAAGUUGGGUUACAGGACCAAAACAUCGAUGCUCUGAGUUAUUUAAAUCGGUGUGCAACUUCUGUGCUUUAAUAUGUAGAUAUUAAACCUUUCUAGGCUUAAGGGUGAAGGAACAAAUGUGGCUGAGAAAGAUUUUUUAUUUAUUCAAGUUCGUAUAGUGGAAUACAGCAUGGUAAGACAUACAUACAAUUCUAUAGGUUUAUGUGUAUACAUCCACAUCCUAAUGUUUCUACCCAGUAGAGAAUAUUGUGUUCUCGUUGAAUUCAAUAAACAUUUUAUAUGUAUAACUAAAUGAAAAGUGCUAGAGUUUCUCAUCUUUCAUUGUUAACAGGCUUGGUUAAAUUAACUGUAUUCUAUUUGGCUUUUUCCUGAUUAUGUUACAGCUAAAUAAUGGCUCCUUAAUUUGUCGAAUUGCUCCCUCUCUCUCUCUCUCUCUCUCUCUCUCUCAUAUCCAUUUGCUUCGAAUUACGUCAAGUUAUUGUUGGUUUAAUGAUUCAGUGUUGAAGAGAAACUGUACAGAAAUUUUGAACCAAAGAUUUGAGGGUAUUAGUGUGUGUAAUUUUCAUAGAUUUCCCCAGAAACAAAAAAGAAGAAAAAGAAGCAAACAACUGCAAACCUGCAACUGGGCCAGAGGUGGACGUACAAAUGCAAACAGAACCAGUUCCAGGUCACACCUUAUCUUCUAUUGUUUCGCAAAUUGAAACUUCAUUGCUUUUUAGUUCCAACUUCAUUUCAACUAUGCUUUCCAGCAGCUAGUGAGACAAAAGUCGAACCCCAUGUACUGGCGGCAGCGAUGACUAGGUAACAAACCCUUUUGUAUUCAGCGUAUUCACGCAAAUUUGUGAAGUUGGAUGCGGCCGACAUGCUGCGGCUGCAGAAACCUUGUAUUCAGCGUAUUCACGCAAAUUUGUGAAGUUGGAUGCGGCCGCCGCUGCUGCGGCUGCAGAAACCUUAGCAGUUUCGUCGGCGGAUUCACAUUUGUCAAGCAUCUUUGCUGCUCCCACUGCUCCCUGGUGAAUUUGGCAUAGCCAAAUUGCUCUGGAUUCUUAAUUCCUCCACUAGUUCCCAGCAAAUUCAAGGGAGUCCACCCCUAAAUUCCCCAUUAUUAAGAUCUCGCAAUGUAGCAUCAUCCCUACUUACCCUACAUUGCUUUCAGUACAUAUUCAACAACCAAAUACUUUCCACAUUUCACUUGUGGUAAAGCAUUCGGCGUCGAUGCAUACGAAGUUAAACUUCGUGAAUCACACACGGCCGUUCGUGCUUCCCCAUGCGCGGAAACAGGAACUUUCGCCAAUAUCACGAAGAUCAUUUUGUACCAAACAGGCCUCCCACAAAUACCCAUCACCACAUUCCCCUAGAACACAAAAAAGGUAACACACUUAAAGGUGCAACAGUCCCGCAAUUAUCGCAGAAAUCCACAUAAACAGGGAAACAAAAAAGAAAAGCCAAAUUAUGCUGUUGUUCUAAUCCCGCAUCCAAUGUUCUUGGUGAUAACAUAAAGUACAAGGUGGAGAAAGAACAGGAAAGAAGAUAGGGAGAGCCUUCAACAUUGAUCUCACAUGUUUACUUUCAGAGGGAUCUCUAAAUACUCUGCAGUUGGGAGAAGGAAAUCCGAAUGACGGAUCUGUCGAGGGAGGUCGCAUGCUUGCAAACUAGGGUUUCAGUCGCUUGCUCCUCGUUCUCGAACAAAACUAGGGCUUGCUUCUUCCCGUUCACCUCGAAGAGCUUGCUGUUGACUAUGGUGCCGUGCUCACUUAGGUGGGCAAUGACGUCAUCCUCCGUGAUUUCUUGCGGGAGGGCGGAAACAUGGAUCAUCUUCGUCGGGGCGCAGCAAUAUCGGUAGUUCUUUGCCGCGUUAUUGUUGCUAAAUCGGUUAAGGUUAGAAUUGGCAAAUUCACGGGUGUCGGGAGCAGGCGUGAUGUUCGGAUACUUGGAGAAAUUCACCUCUAUUUUCUUCCCAAAUAGCAUUGCUCCCUGCGGCAGGUAAUAAAGUUUGCUAUGAUUAUGAAGUCCAUUAACUAGGAAAUGACAACUUUGAAAGCUUGCUGAAUUUAGUAAAGGAAAAGAAGAGAAAAAGGCUAAAACUCAGAAACCCCUCUGGAAAUAUCAUGAUUUGCGCUUUAAGCAAUGUGUAGAUCACAAUAUCUCUAGGGGUUUUUUCUGUAUUUUUUCUCAAAACAAAAAAGGCAGCAUUCUCAGUAAUACUAGUUUAUUAGCGAUCAAGCUUAUGAUAUAACAGCAGAAAAGUACAAGGGCCAAAGCAAGCGAACCUUCAAGAAGUGUACAGCAAGUUCAGCCUGAAACCCAUCAGCCAUCUGAACAAGCGCAUGAUCCGGUUUAUUGCGAAGGAUCUUAAUUCUUAUAAUGUUGCCAUAUAAAGAAAACAAAUUGAAAAGCUUGUCCUCGUCAAUCUUCUGCACAAGUGUAAUGAAAAUAUCAAUAACUUUUUGAGUGAAGUGAAAUAACAAAAUUAUAGAACGAGGAUGUCAGGACUUACUUCAGUGUUCAAAUUAGUGGCUAAGAUUGUGCACCUGUCAUUGGUACCACUUAUUCCAGGAGGCAAUCCUCCACCAAAAGCAGCUGCAAUUGCUGCGGCAUUGCCCAUCUAGCAAUAAAGAUGAUUAAAUUUCAUGGAAAUGCUUUCAUAAAUUUUCCAAAAAGAUGGUAAUCAGGAAGCGACUAACGCCUAUUUAAUAAUUUGCACAAAUUUAACGUAUCUGAAACCAACAAAACCUUCGAGAGCUGUGCAGUUCAGAGAUACAAACCUGGCCAUACGCAACUGAUGCAAAAUAAAGUGGGGAAAAGGAGUCAGUGUUUCAGUAAUAAGUGACAAGCAAGGCAAUAAAGAUAGAAAGUCAAAGCAAGCACCUCUAGCACUAGGUCCUUGGAGCCCAUAUAAACCUCCAGCAUCACCAUAACCAGGCUAUAUUAAAAACAUAUAAUUGAAUAUCAUUAGCAUCUAAUAGACGAUCUCUCUUUUGCAGCAAAUAGGGCACCAACAGCAGACAAGGACAAAGAAAAGCAGCCUACCUGUGAGGGUCUACCUCGUUGUUCAGUGGGCAACGACGGGUUUGUGAAAUCUCUGAACAGAGAAAAUACACACAAAAAAGAAAAUAAGCAUAAACUAGAACAUAUGACGGGGAGAAACAUGCUAAUCUUGUCACUCAAGUUCCCUCAUAAUAAAUCUGGAGUAUCUUUUUCAUCUCUGUCAUUUCAAAUUUUAGUUUCACAAAAUAGAAAUAACGUGUAUUUAUGCAAAAAAUUAACAGUUACAAUUAAAGAAAAGUAUUGUAAUGAUCCAAAUGCCAUUGAUUUUGCUCCACAAUCCUAUUCACAUUUGGCAAUAACAGAGAAACAAUAAUCACCAUACUAAGUUGCAUGAUAAGUAACAUACCUAGACCGGUCAUUGUUGUAAUUGACUUGCAAUUCGUUGAGACUGGUUUGGAAAAGAAGAUAUUCACUGAGAUAUUCAGAAGAGAAAAAAGGCGAAAAUUUAAGUAAAAGAGAAUUACAAAGAACAUACUUCGAGAACUGUAUAUCUAGCUGACAACAUCCAUCAUAAAUAUUCCGCCCCUAUAGAAAGAAAUAGUCAUGUUAUUAAUAAGGAAAUAUAACACAAGCAUAAAAAUAUGCAGUCGAAUGCAAGUAACAUACUUGCAAAGCACUUCUCGCUUGUAUAGCACUCUGGCGUGAUUGAUACUGGAUAAGGGCUUGAAAACCUAUACAACAUCAAGUAAUAAAACUCCGGUAAGCUAACUAAUAGUCUUCCUUGACAAAUGCUGAACAAAAAGAAGAUUUUGUUAAUGCUUGCAUUAAAUGCAAUGCUCAAAUGAACUAAUUCAAAGUGAACAACCAAGAAAGAGAGAUUUUUUUAAUAAACACACAACCACAAAUCCACUAGACCAGUUGGUAAAUUUUGGCGUAUUAUUAAGACAGAGAGAUAUAUAGAGAGAGAUGACUUGAGGGUGCUGACCAGCUGACUUCUGAAAAGUGACGAUCUUCUCCACAAACCCAUGAGGAGAAAAGACUUGAUGCAGCACUUCCACUGUUAUGGGAUAGAGCAUGUGGUGAAUUGUUACUAAGAGGAUUCGAUUGGGUUGCGAAUCCUUGAGCCCAACAGCAGACCGUCCCAGAGAGAGAAGUGAGAGAAAGAGAGAGAAGAAUAAAUAGAGAGGCAUAUAGUGGGAAAAAGGAGAAGUAAUAAUAGAGAGAAGAUAUGAAUCUAAAACUACUUAAAGAAAAGUUAUGAGUAGAUAGGCAAAGAGUACUAUAAAGAGAGUUGGUAUUAAACUUCAACAAACUAUAGCCCAGACAUAUAAUUUAAAUAUCAGCAGUAUAGACACAUUCAUGGGAAGUUUUUUAUUAACUCAAAUUUGUCGAAACAUAUUUCUUAGAAUGUAGUGACAAAAAACAAUUGAAACUCCAGUUACAGAACACCAUUAUCUCACAGCAACAUAUCGCAAACGUUUUUGUCCUAUUCAGACCAGCAAGUCUUUUUUUUUCUCACUAACACAUAACAUUAUUACUUUAUAUAUAUAUAUAUAUAUAUAUAUAUAUAUAUAUAUAUAUAUAUAUAUAUCUCAUCUUAGCCCUUCCAAAUAAUAAUCUGGACAACAUGUCAAAAAUUACAUUGAGACUGUCCGCAAAACACCAAUUAGUCCUAACCAGCAAUCUCUGGAAGCAGUUUGUCCAAGAACAUAACAGCAGUGAGCAUCCCUACUGUAAGUAAGGCAGAAAGAGAUCAUAGAUUUUGUUCUUUAACUGCACUAACUAUAUGGUCAUAAAUAAUAAAAAAAGAUCAAUAGUGACAAAGAGAGAGAAAAAAAAAAGGGAAUGCUUACGCAAUCAGGUUUGUCAAAUUUGUUCUGUUUUUUACUGGUCUGAUGACAUUUUCUUCCAAUAUAGCACCCUUCUUGUUGCUCUUUUAGGUUUUGUCCUACACAUUCAUUACCAUUUAUCUCUACACUUUAGGUUAUCAUCAUGGUUUCAUGCCACACAAGACUGACAGUGGAUUACAACUAUGGUUUGGAUUAUCUCUACACUUUAGGUCAUCAUCAUUCACGUAUAUCAGUCACCUCCCGAUAAUCUCACAAUUUUGGUUACUUUGUUAUCUUCUUCUAUGUUUCUUUUUUAUUUUAUUACUUCUAUUCUUGAGCUUUAUUAAAAUUUUCCUCUAAAGUUUGGACUGACUAGUUCCUUUGAACCUAUCUACAGCAUACUUUUUACUUCACUUUUGUCAUGCAAAUAUUCAAUACCAUUAUCUAUGUCCAAUAGCCAAAUUUUUUUGUAUAUAUAGCUUCACAAAGGUGACAAAAAAUAAGUUUGUUAAAACCUCAUUUUUUGUAAAGCAUCCAAAAAUGUGUAAUAUAUCAGCUAACAUCACUUCCUGGACUUUCUAAAGCAGUCACCCACCACACAACAUACAUUCUGUUGUGGAAUAAUACAAUGACAGAUCUUCAUGACAACAAAAAGUAAACAAGAAAAUUAAAAACUACCUGAUCAGAUUUCCGUCCUUGCGAGUUUUGGUCAACAGUUGUCAAUUCCUGGUGAGAAGAAAAUUGAAGAUAAACAUUCCUUCCUCUGAAAUGGCAACAGAGAAACUCAUGUGAGUUGCCAGUUAGGAGAAUAAGAAUAAAAUUUAUAACAGUCAGACAUGGAUAGAAGUCAGACACGGAUAUGGGAGAGUAAUUAUAUAAAAAAGGAAAAUGAGAGAAUGUGAUGCCAAGUAUAUAAUCUUGUAAGACAAGAUGAAGUUCACAAGUGUACAAGAUGAAAUUCACAAAGGGCUAAAGGAAAAGGCAAAACCUCAUAGGAAAACUUUACUGUUACUCUUAGCUACAAGUACUCAUAAUAAGCUGGAAAGAAAAGUCUAAAACUUUUAAGUGAUACAAAAAAUCAUUAAGUGAAUCACUCUUUUACCUGACACUAGGUUGAACUGUAGUGUAGUAUUGCAAGACGUUUACAGCAGAAGCCACAUCAUGCAUCUGGAGAAGAGCCUGAGCACAGAAAGAUAUUUAAUAAAUACAGCAUACAGAAAAGGAUAAUGAAGAUAUUGAACAAGCAGUGGGGAACUGCAAUGAAGAAUAUAGUCAAAUACAAAGAGGGACAGAAUAGGACAGAAGAGAAGGGAAGAAAUAUGAAAGAAACAACGCGAAAAGAUAGGAAAAUAGCAGUCUACUGUGAUGUUCAGACGCAUAGAAAAGAAGAAACAAGAAAACAAGCUUUCGAUUGAGUUAUUUCCUUUCUCUCCCUUUCCCUUCACUUUAAAGAGUAGGUGAAAAAAAAAAGACCUUCUUUGGCAUUGCUGUUGUUUUCAUUUUUGUAAAUGUGAAUUACAUAUGAUUGUAUGCGCCGUUGUUGGUUAGCUUUCAAUGCAACUUGGCCAAGAUAAAGAAUGACAUAUUCUUUGAAAAACAAAGAAGCAGAAAAAAAAAAAAAAUACAAACAAGUUUUUCUUUUUGUUGCGAAACAAAGCCCAUAGAUGUAUUGGCUGCAAACACUCGGGUAUCCGUCCGCACCACUGUCGCGUGGAAUUUACAUUUAAAAAAAGCAAACUAAGAAAAUGACAUUGGUACCAAACUAAGUUCUUGCCAUUUAAGGGGAUUUUUCAUUCUCCUUUUCCAUCCAUUUCUCUUCCUCUUUCUCUUUUCAAGACUCAUUCACAGAUCGUAUACAAAUAAAUAAUUUUUUUAAGGGGAGAGAGAAACAAAGCAAAUGAAGAAUCAAUACCUGAUUUUUGGCUCGUAACAUUACAAGCUUUGUGACGGUGCCGAAUGGCUGAAACAACUGGAGAAGAUCACUCUAACCAACAGAAAAGAAGGGGAAAAAACUAAUCACAACUCCAAAAUCAUCAACACAAAAGAAAAAACUAGUCACAACUCCCAAAUCAUCAACAACAGAGCUUACUUACACCAAUUUUAAUCGGGAAAAAAAUAAAAAAUUACCUCCGAUAUCUCGUGCCCUACGUUCCGAACAUGAAUCACUUUGGAAGGCUCGCUCAUCCUCGCUUGUUUCUCUUCAACAAGACGAAGUACUUACCUACAAAAACCCUCAUCAUUUUGACAUUUUCGCGAUAAAAAUAACCAUAAAUUAAAAAAAAAUGGCGAAAAGAGCGGCGCAUUGAGAUCGAGAGCUACUCUACCCACGCGAUAACGCUCGAAACCCAAACAAAUCCAACAGAAACCAAAAAAAACGAGGAGAAAAUCCAUCCAUCAACACUACGAAUCAAACAAAUCACGUAAACACCCACACGAAAACACACGGGAACAAAAACGAACACCACAACUACCUUGAGAUGAGGCAGCUCGAAGGAUCUGGUUAGGGUUGCGCGACUGGAGCUCUGAGCAUGGGGGAAUUCUAGGGUUUUGCUCCAAUCGAUCGAUUUAGGGCUUCGAUUUGGGGGUGGUGGGGAGGGGACGAAGCGGCCGCGUGCCCUAGGUUGGAUCUCCUCUCCGUUUAUGUACUCUUGUUAUCUUCUUAGCUCGCGAGGUCGAGAGUUUUAUUGUUAAUAGGGAAAACUUCAAAUACCACCCCGAUAGUUUCAUAUUUUUUCACUUUAGUACCUUAUGAUUUAAAAUGUAUCAAUUUAGUAUUAUGUGGGAUGUGGUUUUAUUUUUAUCUUUUUAUUAUCGAUUCCACUAAUUUUUUUUAUUAAAUCAGUGACAAAGUUAAAACUAAAGGGUACUAAAGUGAAUAUUCGAUAAACCUAGGUAGGGUAUCUGAAGUUUUUUGUAUAUAAUUUAACGAAAUAUUAACGGAGAAGCUGACGAAAAGAUAAAAAUAAAACCACGGGACACUAACUUGAUACACUUUAAACUAUAGGGUACUAAAGUGAGAAAGUGCAAAACUACAGAUGAAGCGUGUUACGAUGCUCCGCAAAACACCAACAAAAAUUUCGUGGGGACGGUCCCAAUAGAGAUCUCAAUGGGUGCGGAUACCUGAAAUUUUUAUUCGAAUUCGAAUUCGAGCGGAACGCAUUUACUUAAUGUUAAACACAUAUAGUUUCAAAUACAGAAAUAAAAAUUGAAAAUACGAUGGAUUUGAAUUUGGCAUGGAUUUUCAUUGUACCCUAUCCGAACCCGAAUUAAUUUUUCAUUAUAAUAUAUAUAGAGAAAGCGAGAGUUGAGCUGGAAUACUAUUAAUAAUAUUUGGAUUAUUUUACUAUCAAUUUUUUAACCGUUAAAUCUACACUUUAAUCAAUUCUUUUCUAAAUCAUACUAUUCAACCAAUCACUCACUCAACCAACCAAUCACCCACUCAACCUCCUGGUCCACUACUAAACCCUAGGAAACCAUUAUUAUUCUAAUCUUAUAAUUUUUUUUCAUUCAAGGAUUAAAAAUUUAAUAGCGAAAAAGCCCAAAAAUACUAUUAAUAAUAUUCUGGCCCAAUUUUAUAUAUUUAUAUAUAUAUAUAUA